rnacentral:rRNA from 1 species
CCUACGGGUGGCUGCAGUGGGGAAUAUUGCACAAUGGGGGAAACCCUGAUCCAGCGACGCCGCGUGAGGGAAGAAGGAUUUAGGUAUGGUAAGCUCUAUCAGCAGGGAAGAAAAUGACGGUACCUGACUAAGAAGCCCCGGCUAACUACGUGCCCGCAGCGGCGGUAAUACGUAGGGGGCAAGCGUUAUCCGGAUUUAAUGGGUGUAAAGGGAGCGUAGACGGUUAAUCAAGUCAGAAGUUAAAACCCAGGGCUCAACCUUGGGACUGCUUUUGAAACUGAGUAGCUAGAGUGCAGGAGAGGUACGCGGAAUUCGUAGUGUAGCGGUGAAAUGCGUAGAUAUCAGGAGGAACACCAGUGGCGAAGGCGGCUUACUGG